rnacentral:rRNA from 1 species
AGAGUUUGAUCAUGGCUCAGAUUGAACGCUGGCGGCAUGCCUUACACAUGCAAGUCGAACGGCAGCACGGGGGCAACCCUGGUGGCGAGUGGCGAACGGGUGAGUAAUACAUCGGAACGUGUCCUGGAGUGGGGGAUAGCCCGGCGAAAGCCGGAUUAAUACCGCAUACGAUCUAGGGAUGAAAGCGGGGGACCGAAAGGCCUCGCGCUCAAGGGGCGGCCGAUGGCAGAUUAGCUAGUUGGUGGGGUAAAGGCCUACCAAGGCGACGAUCUGUAGCUGGUCUGAGAGGACGACCAGCCACACUGGGACUGAGACACGGCCCAGACUCCUACGGGAGGCAGCAGUGGGGAAUUUUGGACAAUGGGGGCAACCCUGAUCCAGCAAUGCCGCGUGUGUGAAGAAGGCCUUCGGGUUGUAAAGCACUUUUGUCCGGAAAGAAAACCGCUUCUCUAAUACAGAGGUGGGAUGACGGUACCGGAAGAAUAAGCACCGGCUAACUACGUGCCAGCAGCCGCGGUAAUACGUAGGGUGCGAGCGUUAAUCGGAAUUACUGGGCGUAAAGCGUGCGCAGGCGGUUCGCUAAGACCGAUGUGAAAUCCCCGGGCUUAACCUGGGAACUGCAUUGGUGACUGGCGGCUAGAGUAUGGCAGAGGGGGGUAGAAUUCCACGUAGCAGUGAAAUGCGUAGAGAUGUGGAGGAAUACCGAUGGCGAAGGCAGCCCCCUGGGCCAAUACUGACGCUCAUGCACGAAAGCGUGGGGAGCAAACAGGAUUAGAUACCCUAGUAGUCC